rnacentral:rRNA from 1 species
UACGUAGGUGGCGAGCGUUGUCCGGAUUUAUUGGGCGUAAAGCGCGCGCAGGCGGUGAGGUAAGUCCGUCGUGAAAUCUCCCGGCUCAACUGGGAGGGUGCGGGGGAGACUGCCUGACUGGAGGCACUCAGAGGCCGGUGGAAUUCCCGGUGGAGUGGUGAAAUGCGUAGAGAUCGGGAGGAACACCAGUGGCGAAGGGCGGCCGGCUGGGGGUGACCUGACGCUGAGGCGCGAAAGCGUGGGGAGCGAACAGG